GACAGAGGGUGCAAACGUUGCUCGGAAUCACUGGGCGUAAAGGGUGCGUAGGCGGGUCUUUUAAGUCAGGGGUGAAAUCCUGGAGCUCAACUCCAGAACUGCCUUUGAUACUGAGGAUCUUGAGUUCGGGAGAGGUGAGUGGAACUGCGAGUGUAGAGGUGAAAUUCGUAGAUAUUCGCAAGAACACCAGUGGCGAAGGCGGCUCACUGGCCCGAUACUGACGCUGAGGCACGAAAGCGUGGGGAGCAAACAGGG
rnacentral:rRNA from 1 species